UCACGAAUCUUUGAACGCACAUUGCGCCCGCCAGUAUUCUGGCGGGCAUGCCUGUCCGAGCGUCAUUUCAACCCUCGAACCCCUCCGGGGGGUCGGCGUUGGGGAUCGGCCCUUUACGGGGCCGGCCCCGAAAUACAGUGGCGGUCUCGCCGCAGCCUCUCCUGCGCAGUAGUUUGCACACUCGCAUCGGGAGCGCGGCGCGUCCAAUGCCGUAAAACACCCAACUUUCUGAAAUGUUGACCUCGGAUCAGGUAGGAAUACCCGCUGAACUUAAG
rnacentral:misc_RNA from 1 species